GACGGAGGAUGCAAGUGUUAUCCGGAAUCACCGGGCGUAAAGCGUCUGUAGGUGGUUAAAUAAGUCAACUGUUAAAUCUUGAGGCUCAACCUCAAAAUCGCAGUCGAAACUAUUAGACUAGAGUAUAGUAGGGGUAAAGGGAAUUUCCAGUGGAGCGGUGAAAUGCGUAGAGAUUGGAAAGAACACCGAUGGCGAAGGCACUUUACUGGGCUAUUACUAACACUCAGAGACGAAAGCUAGGGUAGCAAAUGGG
rnacentral:rRNA from 1 species